CAGGGGAGCUUCCUGACAUAAGGUGUCCCUAAUCUGAGCCCUAUUCCUCUCUAUUAUUAGAGAGUAAUAAUAAUUAAAAUAGUUCCCAACAUUAUUUUAUAUUCUGUAUGUUUAUAUUUUAUAUAAUUUAUAUGCAUUUUAUAUUAUAUAUAUAAAUAUAUCUAUUCAACCAAGCUACGAGGGAGAAAUGGUUAUUAUCCACAUUUCAUCGAUGAGGAAACCCUCCACCGGGAAGAACAUUUGGGAAAUGGAGAGAAGGAUAAAAAGGACAAGUUCCUCCCAAGCCCUGCAAACAGAGCCUCCAGGAGACAGGGGCUCCCCAGGGUUCGGGGAGGGAGCCCCCUGCCUGAGCAGCUGUGUGACCCAGGAGAGGGACGGCACGAGCCAGAAUGGUUCAGGGACCGAGGAGCUGGCUGCACCAGACCAGCAGUCUCCGACCGGAGGCUCAUCUGUAUUAGGAUCACACGGAAAUUUCAUUGGAAAGACAGAUCCCUGGGCCCAGCACAGGCUCACUAAAUCAGAUUCUGAGGAUAAAGAGCCUGGAAUCUGAGUUUUCAACAAGCUCCCCAAACCUGAACCAAUAAACUUCGAG